AAUAGUUCAGCACUAAAUUACCAUGACUAGCGUGUUAUUGGAGGAAACUUUCCACAAGUCCAACCCAAAGAAAGCUGCAAUCUAAAAACCAUACAAGAGUACAAACACAUUAUGCAUCCAACAAUCACAGUCUGUCCAUAAUGCAUUGCCAUGGAAACUAGCCUCCACCAUGCAUCUUGCGUGGUUGAGUCACAGAGCCUAGACAUUAGGAAUUUUCAUCUUUCAUACUUUAUAUUAAAAAUCCAAUGCCUUUUAAAGCAAGGGCAAUCUUUCCUCCCCGCAGAGUCCAGGCUAAGAAAUGCAGAGAACCAUUUUUAUGCUUGAGAUAGUCAAGAGAGCAUCUGUACAGAUUAUCUUUCAGGAGCACACACCUGCAAACCUAGCCAUGUAAAUAGAGCCCAUACUAACAUAAGAAUGCUUCUUACUUAUUUAUUAAGUUUUGGUUGAUAAAGACAGGUACCAUGAAAUUGCACCUUGCACUUGCGCGAGAAAUUGGAUGACUUACCAUUCAUAAGCAAGCAUACUAAGGACAUGAGCAAGUGAUAACCUUCUCACCUAGCAGGACAUGUACUUCUGUUAUGGAGAACUUGAUCACACAGGUUAAAAUGUUCCUCCAAAAUUAUGUUGGACAGAAGAAGAGAGGUUUGCAUCCAUGUGGAAUGUCUAAGCUAAUUUUAGUAGAUUGAUUCUGUGAUACAUUCUAAGUUCAAGGGUUUUUAAACAGAAGUCUAAUUCAGCAAAUUUUCCCAGAGCAUGCUCAGACUGACCAACUAUUGGUUCCAGCUGCAAAUUUAUUGACAAUAAGAAUAAAUUGAAAGAAGCUAAUAAUUGACCACUUCCAUAACUCUAGGCCACGUUAUCUCCAGUGGGAAGAAAUGAUGCACCCAUAGAUUAGACAAGCUAAUUAUGUCUAAUAAACAUAUCUACUCAAGUCCCCAAGAAGAUGAAGCAUUCUGACUCUGCAUGGCUGACUGCAAGCUUUGGCUAGCUAAUUUUAGAUAAGUAACCUUACGAAAAUUAGAGGUAUGCUAGGAUUUUAGUAAAUUUGCUAUAUCUACUUUAACUCAAAUUCAAGGUUUCUUGUUUCUACUGGGCCCGUUUGGUUCAACUUUGGGGAAAUUGCUUUGCAUUUCCCCAAGUAUCUUUAGAGGAAUGGGCAUUUGAUGAAGGCAAAAGUGUUUGGAUACUCUCAUUUUGGUGUAUUUUGCAAAGUAGCUUUGAGGUGAAAAGAAAAAGGAAAAAAAGAAAAGGAAAAAGGAGGAGGAGAUGCUGAAGCAGAGGGGAACGAUCGGGAGGUAGCUGGAGCUGGUAGUUGUGGUGGGGGAGGCGGCUGGUGGCAAUGGUGGUGGGGAGGCGGCGCACCACCGUCACCUGGUUCGUGCAGCCUCAAGGGACCCCGCCUAGGUCGCACGACCCACGCACUGCCGUCGCCUGGUUUGCGGCCUCAGGCGACACCGCCUAGGUUGCGCGACCCACGCACUGCCGUCGCCUGGGUAGUGCGACCUAGGCGGCAUCGCCUAAGGCCACGUGACCCAGGCGAUGGCGGUGCGUGGGGUCGAUGCCCAAGGUCCCCUGAGGUCAGGCGACCCUUCUCGGCGACCAGAUCUGGCCGGUUGAGCUCCGCCAGCUGAACUUCACCGGUGGAGCAACAAGUCCAAGAAGACAGACGAUGAACAGUAAUUUUUUAGGAUAAAAGAGGAAAACGCAAUUAUCAGUGAGGGCAAUAUUGGAAGAAAAAAAUUCAUUAAACCCCUAUUUAGCAUUCCGAAAAUGCUGAAAGCCCAAAGCAGGUGGAUUUCAAAGGCAAGCAUUUGGCCAAGGAGACCUCCAAAUGCUGAACCAAACACCUAAAAUUUUUCCCAAGGGGCUUUGGGGGCUUAAAGCCUUUGGGAAUGCCGAACCAAACGGGUUAGAGUUGGAUUUCAGCAGAAUUCAUGAAUAUGAUUUAAUGCGGUUUACUGAAUUCAACCCAUUCUUUGCUUCUGAAUUCAGUCAUAGAAUAAUGUUAUUACUCAUGAUGCUUAAAUGAACCCAACAGUGCUGCCUAUAACCUUUAGGCAUAAUGUCCAAAGGAAUUUGCUCAUGGCAAUAUCCUCCCCAAUUAGGAUCCAAGUCCAGCUUCAUCUCUGAUAUCCAAAAUUUUACAUAAUAUGGAAAACAGAAUAUGAGGGGCCACAGGCCUACAGCGAUGAAAAGAUUAUGAGAAAAAAGAUAAUAAAAGGACAAACCAGAUAACAUUCAAACAAACUACCAUACGCAGAGAGAGAUUAUUGACUCAAAAGGUAACAAAUUAAAUAAUAAAAUCCACAAACACAGGAACAUACCUUCCAAAACCAGACUAUCUGAGGAUCAUUAGAUUUGUAACCAUUGUACUCUGUAUGUGCCUUCCAAUCUUCAACAGAAAUAUCAUUCUCACUCCCGUGUAGCAUUUGAUCAAUAUCUUCAAGCUCUAAACUUUGAAAAAAGAACUUCUGCAACCUCAAGUCGCUAAGAAUAUCACCAAAACCUUGUGCAAAAUCCGAUACCUGUUGAGAGAUUGAGGUAACAAACCGAUGUUUUAUAAGAAGAUCAACAUAAUCAUUCCUAUUCUUGCUAUUCACCACCAUGCCCUUCCCACCAUCACAGAGUUCCACAACUCUCCUCAAUCCCAACUCCUCAACUUCUCUCACGAAUGUUAGUCCUAAAGCAUCGGAAUCAAUAAAUUCAGCAUCCAUUUCCAGAAUCUGCUUGCAGCUAUUAUACAUGUAAGGAUCCGCAUCUCUUAUGUCUUCCAGAGAAAUAGAAUAUCCACCCAAUUGCAAGAAAAAUACCCGAUCCAAAACAAUCCCUACUUGUACUUUAUGCAUCAGAGCUAAGCCUAUCAUUCGACCAGAGAAGUUGAAAUACUUGAGGUGCAGGGGUUCCACCGUAGAGGCUGCAUACCAGUAAAACAACAGAACUCAGGUAAUCAUAAUGACCAAUGUCAAAUAGAGGAUUUAUAUGUAGAGACAGAGGACAAGAUGAAAUAAAUCAUCUUAAAUGUUCAAAUUCCGAAACACUCAAGUGUUGAUUGUCAAUACUGAUAAGACAUUUAAAACAAAGGUAAGGGAACUGUAAUAACAGAAGGGCAAGGUGACCACACAAGUAGAUCUCAAAAGGUUUAUUUAUUUAAUAACUAUCAACAGCCCAGCAAUCCCCAAAGAAACUUUUUAUGUACCCACAGCUCCAUGUAGGCACGAAUUAUUAAAAAAAAAAAAAAAUCCCCAAAGAGAUGAAGAAUAACAAACUACAAGAACCAAGGGUAAAAGAGAGAUUUACAUAAGAAAAAAUGAGAUGAAAAUACACUUUCACUCCUAAAAAGUCGUGUGCAUUGCACAUGUUAACUGAAAUCAUAAUGGAGAAUUAACGGCUGUCACAAAAUGAAAUUUAGGAGAGUAAUAUGUUGCAGUAGAAAGUUAAGGGGCAAACAUGUACAACCAAAAGUUGAAGGGGUUUUGCAUUUUCCUCUUACUUGUAUGAGAUUUAAAUACUCUACAUCAAGCAUGCAAUUUCAUUAAGACUUCAAGGUCAUUGAGCCGAAUGAAUUCCAAGUAAACAACCCCGAAUUCCUAAUAGGCAAAAAAAAUAGCAAAACUCAACUCUAUCCCCUGGACCAAUCUUGCGUUUGUAAGGUCAACUUUCCAGCUGACACAACCCCCCAAUUACUUCAAUCAAUCUUUAUCUUUGUAUGGCAAUAAAACCAACUACUAAGCCUUAACUGACAACAUGCAGCCAUAUAAUCCAUACAAUGACAUUUCACUCCACUGUGUAUCUAGUUCUCUGAGACUAUCUUUGUCACAAAGAAUAAUUGUGUGGUCUGCAAAGAGAAGGGGUUCAACAUGCCAAAUAACCAGGUUGCCUAAAAACUCAUACUUCCAAAAUCAAAUAAACUUUUUUUAGUUAAACCAUCGCCUUGUUCAGACCAAAUUCAUUUGAUCCAGUUCCAACAGCUUGGUUUCAGGUCACAAAGUGUUAAAUAAGAAGAUCAAAACUUGACUGAUUGACCCAUUUGUUUCGACUCUUUUUACUAUGUUUACCAUUUGUCCUUUGGCAAGGUAGUCUCUAAAAUUUUACUCAUUAUCUACUUGGCAGGAUUGACUCCCACUUCCCAUUCCUCAAAAGCCCCAAUACGGUGAUCUACCAUCACUAGCCUUACUCUUCUUCCUACAAGAAAAAACUUUCAAACCCAUCUAUCAUCAUCUUCAAAAUAUUAGCCACCAUAGCACAUUCAUAGUUAGUACUCAUCCAAUGACACGACCUCUCUCUCUCCCUGCACAAGAGCACUCUGGCAGUUGCAGAAUAAGCAAGAAAAACAAGAGGCAGAAAUAUCGAACGAGCAAUAGUAGGAAGGCAAUGAAAAUGAGUUAAACCUAGGUCUUGAACCUAACUGACAGGGUAUUUGCGCAGUUCAUCAAUCCUUUGUGCUGCUUGUUCAACUUUUCUAUCUGAAACUCUUGGUUCUGAUUCUGUUUUGGUAGAAACCAAACAGGAAUGUCAAAGCUGCCAACCCACUUGUAUUCACUCUACAUCCUAGGGCUUUGAGUGCUAAUUAUAUGUCAAACUCCAUUCAAUAUGCCGAAAUGAUAAGCACUCCAUCAUCCACUUUUUUUGGUUUCACAAAAUCUAAGGACAACAACCAGCAUUUUAAACAAAAUCACACACAUUGCCAAGCAAUAUUACCUGGAUUUGGGUAGAACCUUCUGCGAUCAUUGGGACAUGCUACAAAAAGAGGAUUUUGCUGAUUGAAAAUAGCUUGGCAAACCAGAACAAACCACUCGCGCAAGACACCAGGACCAGUUGCUUCCUCAUUUUUAAAUUCCAUAAAUAUACCCCCAUGCAAAGAUUCAGCUUCUGCAUUAGCUAUAUACUCAAAUGAUUCUGACAAUAACUGAGACCUGUCGAUCAGCAUCUCAUGUUGUUCCUCAAAGUCUUCUUUCACUUCAGGGAACAUCAUCAUCACUAAGUGCCUCCUAGACUCAAAAUCCAUGAUAUCUUUGUGCUCAAGAAGCCAUUUGUGAUCAUCAUUUCGCUUUGCAUAACGGACAACAAGCAUACACAAUGCACGGUUCCUCAUGCUCAAAAUCGUCCAAAAUUUUUCCUCAGAACCCAAAUAAAGUUUAGAAAUGGCAUUCAGUUCUUUCAAAAUAGUAAGAUAUCUAGACCACGCUGGAUGUGCAAUAUCAAUUUCCCCACUUACCUUUGCAGAUAAGCGCUGCUCCAUUCCAGAAAGGCACUCAUCCAUCUUCUUUAGCAUGUCCACAAAGAUACUAUAAAGCGAUUCGACCUCUUCCUUACACAACAGAACAUCGUGGUGUUCAUUUUCCAUAGGCAAAGAGAUUGGAUGCUCGAAACCCUUGUAUCCAGACAUUACAGUUCGCAAAGGGCGCAAGAACAUGGUGAAAUCAUUGACAUCGUUCCAACUCCCCACACUCGCUGCUGAUAUGAGGGACACUUCCAUAUCUUUGGACAACUUACCUGCCAGCUCUUUAACGAAAGGGAAUAUCUCUUUUAUAGAUAUCGCUCUCUUUACACUUUCCGUAUGUUCCGAUACCCAUUGAACCUUAAUAACCUCCAUCAUCGACCCCAGACUACUCCGGCAAGACAAGUACAAGGGGUCAUGAGAAGCUAUUCUCCUGAGCAACUUACAAAACUCCAGCACUAUCGGUGCACAGCGCGAUCGCAAAGACUUUGGCAACUCGGUUAUACAUGAUUCGAGGAAAUGCCUAAUUGACUCCUCGGCAUGCUCCUUGUUACCCCUAAUUGACGACAUGUAGAGCAUAACAAGCGCCGAAGGCGCAGAGGAUGACAUAAAUAUCUGAAGAUGCCCAGUAGCUGGAUCACCAUCAUCCUUAGGAGUCAUCGACAAGUAUUCCGAUAUCCUAGUUCUAAUAGUUUUAAGAGCAUAGGGCACAGUUUCACCUUUACAAAGACGGCAAACAAGAGAAAUCAUGUCAUCGAUGAUUUGCCAAGCCUGCGGGUGCCCCGUGCUCCGCAUUCGGCCAACCAAAUGCAGCCCGGCAUCAUUCUGGAUAGCGCACUCGGCCAAAGAUUUCUCGCACUGCAGCUGCUUCCCUCUGUAAAUCAGCCUCUGCUCAAUGACGGGAAUUCCAGUGAUCAGUUGAAUCCGCUCGUGCACCGACUGCACGGUAUCGCUGGAAUUGGCCUGGAAGACCAAGGUCUUGCCCUCCGAGAUCAUCCGCACGAAGAACUGGAGCCUUGAGGCGAAGGCCAGGCGGGCGGACGGCAAGGGGGAGUGCGGCAGGGGCCAGGGCACCCGGCCGGAGCUGGAGCUGCUGGCGUGGGCGAACGCGGGGUGCGGGUGCUGGACCGAGUACAGCUCGUCCUUUCGCAUCCGAAUGCUGAGUAAAUCGGCCGCGAACUCGUCGUCGAAGGCCGUAGGGGCAUAAUCGUCCAACUUUCGCUUCGCGGCGGCGGAGGCGAGGCGGCGGCUGUCGUUCGCGGGGUUGGGAUCGGCGAGCGAAGACAUCAACGGCCCACGCGCCGCCGUGGACGUCGGUCGCCGCGGCGGGGGAAGGAGCUCAACGAGCCGGGGGCGGCGGGGAUCGCCGGGGGGGCCUCUAAAACCCUAGAAUUCCGCUGAUCGGGCGAAGCCGCCGGGGCAGCAGCUAGACAACAGAAACCCAAGAAACGCACCGGGCGGCCGAGCGAGCGGGGGCGGGAGGAGAGAGGAAGGGGUGGAUCGGCGACGGCGACGGCGACGGCGGGGGGGCGGGGGCGGGGGCGGGGGCGGGGGCGGUAGAGAGAGAAGCGAUUUGGUGAGUGUGAAAGAAGAGAGAGAAAGAGAGAGAAAGCCGGCUCUGUGGAAGCAGCAGAGUCAUCAAUGGAGGUAGAGGAGAGAGAAAGAGAGAUUUUAGACUGUCUUCUUACGCUAAGAGGAAAAUCAAAGGCAAAAAAGAAAAAAGAAAACAUAUAUAUAUAUAUAUAUAUAUAUAUAUAUAAGAAGAGGAAGGAAGGAAGGAAGGAAGGGAGGCGGGGGAGGGUUCUGGUGGAGGAGGCCGCACCAACUUUUCAUGAGCCUCCUUUCCCCUUCUUCUUUUUUUUUUUUCAUUUUUUGGCCUUUUUUCGUAAAUGUAAUGAAUAUAUUGCUCCAUUUAUCGAAUGCGCCCAAAAUUCACUUUCAAUUUCCUGCUCGUUUAAUGAAAAAAUGGGUGAUAUUCUACCAUGUGUGGUAGUUGUGCUUAUCCUAAUUGACGAUCUAGUUUUUUUUUUUUUUUUUCCGUUGGUUUUUCUUUGCGAUUGGGAGCCGAUUUUCUAAGAUUAAGGUUUCCGGAUGCCAAAUUGGGCGGAGUUAUGUAGGGUUUGAAAGGCUAGUGGCAAGGCUUAGGAUACAUGGUUUGGAGAGAAAAUUGAUUCAGCUUUUGAGAUUGGAGUCAGAGUUUUCGGAUUAAGAUUUUCACAUACCUAAUUGGGCGGAGUUAUGUGGGGUUUAUGAUGCACAAUUGGAUAUGUUUAUGAUGCACAAUUGGAGAGACAAUUGAUUUGGCUUCCAAAAUUACAUUCGAUAUCGCUGAUAUGCUAUGCUCAAAAUUUAAAUUAAGUAAUUCCUUAUUAUAUAAAUCCACGUCAUCAUAAAUCAGGGUAAUUAUUAUAUUACGUCUUUUGAACGGCUUGAAAAUGUUAAGAAGUUCAAUAAGUAUGAAUCAGUACCACUAGAUAAACUUCUUUUCAAAUUGCAAGAUCUAUUUUUUAGUUUUUUUAUUAUGAUCAAAGGUGAAUUUCAAAUGAAUUAGCCGACCUUUAUGACUAGCUAAAAGGUAAAGCGGCUUCACUUAUAUUAUAGUACACAAUUGGAGAAGAUAAACGAGUAGUAUUCCUCUUAAAGAUUUGUCGUUCUCAAAAUUAAGGUAAGUAAUUUCUCGGCAUAUGCACUUGCAUCGCCAUAACGGGGUUAAUUAUCAUGUUACUAUUUUUAGAUUGUAUUUGUCUAGAUGAAGCUUUUUUUAAAAUUGCCGUACCCCAUCAAUCUUUCUAUAUCCAACCAUCAUAACCUUGUCAAGAAAUUCAAUAUAAUUAAAAGGGUAUCAUAUAUAAUGGGUAAAGUUUUUUUUUUUUUUCAAUUUUGUUAUUUUUAGGCGGGGAAAAGACUUGGGUUGUUUUCAGAUAAUUACUUACGUGCAUAGAAUUACGAAAAAAAAAACAGUGAUAUCUCAAUAAAAUUAAAAGUCAAAGGUUGUUUUUUUUUUUAAAUUUUCUCAAAAAUAAAAAAGAAAAAGCCAAAGGUUGAUGCGGCAAGAACGUACAAAAGUUGGGGAAUACGCACGGUCCCCGGGGGGAGGUCAUCUACAUGAAAUCGUCGCUCUAUAGAAUAUUUCUUGCGGUUUGAAUGUCACAAAGCAUAUCCAUUUCAGCCGGUCCAUAUGAACAUAUAUGGUCCCGUCUCCUUCUCAUCAUUAAAAAAAAAGGUUUAAAUAAAAUAAUUGACAUGUGAACAUCACACCAAAUCAGAACUUGGAAGUUUGCCAUUGUGGAGUGCUAAUCUCAUAAUCGAUUUUAAUUUGGAAUUUGGCACCAAUCGAUCUCCUCAUCAAUUAAAUUAGAUCAUCAUUAUUAUCUGUUAGUGUGUUUAAUUGUUUUAUUUACGCGAAAUUGCAAUUUACAAGGCAUUGGUAGGUUUGUUGUAUUUACAUUCGUAAUUCGACUACAUUGCCAUCCCCAAUUAGUUGACUUAGUUGGGAUAAAUCCUCGUGAAAUGACAUAAUAGUUAGUUGUUUUGCACUUUCUUAUCCUUGUCUCUUCGUGAUAUAAAAUAAAAGUUACACAGAAUUUCAAGUUGACAUGAGUUAAGAUUUUUUUUUUUUUUUUUAUGGUAGACCUUAGAGUCUAGACCAAACCCGCUCAUUUGCCUUUCGGGCAUCUUGGGGUUGGGUGAUCAAGCGCGUCAUUCCGCUCAUGAUCAUCUCAAAUUUUGCUAUUUUACUUUCAAAAUAUUUCAAUUUAUUUUUUUGGUUGUAAAUUUUGUAUAUUUUAGACAAUGAAUCCAUGCCCAAUUCCUAAAUUCUGAUGUUUAUAAAAAUGAAUAAAUGAAAAACUUUUUAUCGUCCAUGGAAAAUGUUUAGAUAUAACUUGUUAUCGAUAAUAAAAAAAAUUUCAUUAACUCAUGAUUUCAAGCAAUAAAAAAUUAUUCAUAGGAAAUUUUUCUCCAAAUUAUUAAUUUACUGCAAAACAAACGUAUUAAGUUUUAAGAUUACAUAAAAGAAUUAGAGAUUCUUCAUGAUUUAGAUCUACCACACGUGCGCAUGCCCAUACGCGCGUAUAUAUAUAUAUAUAUAUAUGUGCGCGCGCGCAUUUAAAGUCAGAACUCGAAAAAUAUUUAUUUCUAUGCUUGCCAUGUAAAAGUUAACUUUGUUUACAUUGUUAUCGCAUGGCAUAAGUUUGCCACAUUGUCUAUUUUGACUAAUUAACAUUCGUUUAUUGAUUUGCCAUUCUCAAAUAUCUACCAGUUAUUAACAAUUAAUGCUUAAAAUUAAGAUGGAUAAAAAUAAAGUACCUUUAAAGAUAGCCCGAAGCUUAUUGGACCGAACAAUAAAUAGAGAAAAUUUAAGAAAAAAAAUCUUGAUAUUAAGGGCUCAACAUUUCUUUCUUUCGACUUACCUCAUUGAUUAUAAAUUUGAAAAAAAAAUAUAAAAUAUCUUUAAAUAUAACAUUUAUCCAUUUGAUGUGAGAUUAAGUCAAAACACGAAAUAUAUUUUGUCAUAUAAUUGAUACUCAUAAUUUUAUUAACUAAGUGAAUAACGUAUUAAAAUUAAAUUAGAAUAAUUUAAAGAACAAAUCAUUUUAUACACUUGGAUAAAUUCCACUGAUGUUCACUCAGUUUUAACAUUACAAUAAAGACUGAGAAUUUUUGUAGAAUUCAGAUUAAUUAUAUGUAGUAAAGCCGGGAGCAGCGAGAACAUUUACUCAUGUACUCGCCGCAUGGAAGAUUACCUUGUCUCUAUGCUUCCCACAUAGAAAGUCACAUGCCACAAUUAUGCCAGAUGGCCUAUAUCCUACCGAUUAGCAUUUGUUUAUUGACUCAUCAUUCUCAAAUUUCUUGCACCUAUUAAUUUAAAAUUGAAAUUUAAAUAAUGAAUAAAAUAUCUUAAAAGGUACUCUUGAACAUAUUUAAGCAAUAGCAUAGUUAAUAGAAAAAAAAAAUCCUGAAAUCAAUUCACAAAGAUUAAUCUCCUUCAAUUUCUUUUUUCGGUCAAAAACAAAUAUUUCAUUCAUAUCUCAGUAUCUUAAAAUGAUACAUAAAAGGUUUAAAACAAAGUAAAUCUCAAACAACAAAGUAGAACAAUAAAGCUAAUAAUACUCUCAUCUCAAAAGAGUAGAUCUCUCUCCGCGUCAAAUUAGAACGAACAUCAGCAAAUUUUCGAAUUUUGCAUUAAUAUAAGUGAUGAGCGCACACCAUAAUCUCCUCUAAUAGCUAUAGCUUUAGCUACAAUUUGAAGAGUGGGUGAUGAAUGCUGAAGUUCAACGUCUUCAAUACCAUCAAUUCCAUCACUACAUGGAGAUACCAAAACAAGUUGAAUAGGUUCUCGAAUCUAUAUCUAAAUUGAGAGAGAUUGAACGAACAUAGAAAUAACUCCCAAAUUUAAAUUUCAAUUGGGAGAGAAGAGCUCUCAAAUGUAGAUUUAAAUUGAGAAACGAGAGUUUCCAAAACUCGAAGAAGUGAUAUUUUUUUUUUGAUCGAAAGAUUCCUCAUUUCAUUUCAAGUAGUAAAAUUAGAGGACCAACCCAAAUGGGCAUCAAAACAAAGAACAUCCAAAAGAGAUUGAGGGGGACGAGAGACCAAAUUCCGAGGUAGAGAUUGCCAAAGUUGGGCUUUGGCAACCCAAUCCGUGGUUUUAUUUAAUUCUUGAUCCAUGGGUCAAUUUUAAUCUAGGAUUAGAACUGAGUGCAGCCCAGCCCGUCUAAACUAUGUGGUUGACUUCUUAAGGAGGAGGAUCUAUCCCCAAAAUCGUAUGAACUGCUAUGGAGCAGUCAAACUCAACAGCUACCCCACGUGACCCUUCUUCCUUCCUCCACUUCGCUGCCAUUUCCAGACAUUCGCAUACAGUUAGGGUUUCAACAUGCAAGGGGGAUUGCGCUUUAACCGAGCAAGCAAAACCACCGAGCAGCAUGCCAUUCUCGUCCCUGCACACCCCUGCUACAGAUCCGUCGUUAGUCCUUGGUGCGAAGGCUUCGUUGACGUUAAUUUUCACCCAUCCUGGGUCCAGCGAUCUCCAUCUUGCAGGUUCUACAUUACUUCUUCUGGUAUUUUACUGCUGUGAUGAAGCUUGAUCUAUUAAUUUUUGUUGUGAUGUGAGCAGAUCAGCCAUUACACCUUGCGGAUCUGGCUUCCUUGCUUGGAAAACUACUACAUUCCUCUGUUUCCAGAUGAGCCAGAGAGCUUCGGCUAUUGGGGAGCGUGAGACAGGUGGCUUUCAUACUCCAUAAACCAGCAAUCUAUACUCCUUAAUCCUGUGCUUUGUAUUUGAAUAUGGAGAAUGCAAUUUGACCAUAUUUCACAGGUCCAAGGGUAGAGUAAGAACAAAUGUUCUAUUGAUUUGGGGGACACUUUGCAUAGGGGACACCACAACUCGGGUAAGACUCUUCUUUUAGCUAGAUUCUAGAGGGAGGGCAUUUUGACAUAAGUUCCACAUAAACACUCUAACUUUGGGGAGGGUGCGUAGACUCCAUAUUUUGCUCCACAGUUCUUUGGGUUUUUGACAUGAAGAUCAGGGUGAUGUGUGGGCCAAGUGGCCUUCUAAACUUCUGAGUUGAUUAUACCCACUUUUUACUGAGUAAUUGCCUGAUUUGGUCGCCAUCCAAAUGCAUUUAUCUACCCUUCUGUCAGAUGGUAAGGGGAUGGCCAAAAUUUCGCUUACAAUUUUCUCUUCGAACAAGUUUUGAAGGUGUUCUUCAUUCCAUGUUGAAUUGUUUGUAUCUAUGAGUUCGGCUACCAUCAGGGGAUCGUCUCAGUUGGCUGGGCCAGGGAUUGUGCCUCGCUUUAACCUUCUGUCUUCACGUAUUUCAAUUGAUGCUCCAUUACCUAUUGCCCAUAGUGUUGAGCCUGAAAUAGAAUUUCUACCACUUAGUAGCCUGUCUUAGCAUGAUAGAAAUCUGUAGAGGGGAAAUAGAGUCCCUUGAAUAGUUUACUCCAUAAAGACGAGGGGUUUUCUAUCAAUCGCCAAGCCUGUCUUCCUAGCAUUGCUUUAUUGAAUGUGAUUAGAUCUCUAAAACCCAUUCCUCCCUGGUCCUUCCUCAUCUUCAGCACAUUCCAGCUUUUCCAAUGAAUUCCAACCUUAGAUUCAGCGUUCUUCCACCAAAAUGAAGCAAUUUUUUUCUCUAUAACUUUACAAAUGGAGACUGGAAUCUUAAAGAUGGACAUCGCGUAUUGGGGUAAUGCUUGGACAACUACUUUCAAUAGAACUUCUUUCCCAACUUUGGAUAUCAACUUUUCCUUCCAUCCUUCUAGCUUCAUAUUCACUCUAACCAAUAUCCAAGCGAACAAUUGUUUUUUAGAUGUUUCCCAAUCCGGCGGAAUGCCUAGAUAUUUCCCUGUUUUAUCAAUUUCCGGUGCUCUCAAUUCCCAUGUCAUGUUUCUCCUUAAAGUCUAAGGACAACCUAAACUAAAAAAUAUCCCGAGCUUGUUCAAAUUGAUUGCUUGACCAGUAGCUAUGUAGUAUUGGUUAAGAACAUCAGCCAAAUUUUGGCAUUCCUUCACCUUUCCAUCCAAAAAGAAUAUCGAGUCAUCCGCAAAUAAGAGAUGAGAUAAAGUUGGGCAAUUGCUGUUUAGUUUUAUGCCUUUCACUCUCCCUUCCCCAACUGCUUUUUUCAUAAGAAGAGAUAAAACAUUUGCUACUAGAAUAAAGAGAUAAGGGGAAAGGGGAUCACUUUGACGAAGUCCCCUUGAUGGCUGAAAAUAAGGUAACGAUUCUCCGUUAAACUUGAUACUAAAAGAGACUGAAGUCACACAAUGCAUAAUCCAUGAGAUCCACUUCUAACAAAACCCCAUCUUCAACAUACAAGCCUUCAAAAAGUCCCAUUCAAUUCUAUCAUAUGCCUUCUUCAUAUCAAGCUUUAACACAGCUUGAAAUUUCUUCUUUCUUUUCCUUAUUCUUAGCUGGUGAAGCACCUCCUAAAUAAUAAGAAUGUUAUCCUGGAUUUGUCGCCCUUUAACAAAUGCACUCUGUUCCUUUUGAUCAAUUUUGGAAGAAGGGGCUUUAAGCGAUUUGCCAAAACCUUAGAGAUGAUUUUAUAAGUAAAAUUGCACAGGCUAAUUGGUCCAUACUGAUCAAGCGUUUUCGGGUUUGAGACCUUUGGAAUGAGGACAAUUUGGGUUCUAUUAAAGUCUGGGUUGAACUAAUUUGUCUCCAUAAAAUCCCCUACCAACCUCAAUAGAUCCUUUUGGAUGUCUAUCCAAUGAUGGCGGAAAAACUGACCAUUUAAACCAACCAGCCCUGGAGCCUUGAUGACUCCUAAUUGAAAGACAGCAUCCUUUACCUCCUAUAGUGUAACUUUUUCUAUCAAUGCUUCAUCCAUCUCCUCUUGGAACCAACCGUGCUGUAUAAAUCAUAAAAGAAUUGAACUGUUGCCUCUUUUAAUUUCCUGGGGUCUCUACACCACUCACCAUUUGGCAGCUGGAGCAUGGAGAUUUUAUUUCUUUGUCGACGUUGUAUUGUGGUGGCAUGAAAGUUUUUUGUGUUUCUAUCGCCCCACUUCAACCACAUGAUCCUCAAACACAUUCCCCAAUACAUUUCUUCUCGUUUCCACAGUUGUUCAAUUUCUCAUUUGAUGCUUUGGACUCUUCCCCUUUCAUGAUCAGCCUCUUGAUUGUUUGUGAUGGAUACUAAUUCAGCUUUGAGAAUUUUGAUUUGUUUGUAGGCAUUUAAGAAUUUUUUACUCCAUUCUAGAAGGGUUCUUGUAACCUUUUGUUGUUUUUGUUCCCAACUCAGGUUUUAUGCACUGGAUGCUGCCAAAGCUGAUUUAAUGAUGUCCUCAUAUUCUCUGUCUUCUGCCCAAAAAGCUUCGUAUUUGAAUUCCUUUCUUCGUCUCACCCUUUCAGCUGAUAACGACACCAACGGGGGUUGUGAUCAGAUCCUACUGCAAGAAAAGUGAAAGCUUCAACCUUAGGAUAAGAAACCCUCCAUUCCAUGUUGCAUAAUGCUCGGUCAAGUCGUUCUUUGAUGUAAUCCUCUCAUUCCCAAUUGUUCGACCAUGUAAAUGCACAACAUUUUCCCUCCAAAUCCAUCAAUGAACAAUCAUUUAGAACUUCUCGGAAUGCCAGCAUCCAAUAAUGUUCCAACAUUCUUUUUCCAACUUUCUCCCAAUGGUAGAGAACUUCAUUAAAGUCACAUACACACAUCCGAGGAAGAGAGUUAUAAGACCUGAUAUGUCUUAAUUCAUCCCAUAACCUCAUUCUCUUCUGAAAAGUAUAUGGGGCAUGGAUUAGUGUAAGUCUCAAUUGUUUUGUUUGUCUCCCAUCUGCAGGUAGCAUUAAUAAAAUCAGCAGCAAAAGAAUCGAUUAUUAAUGUUAUGUCUUCAUUCCACAUUAGCGCAAGCCCCCAACAAUACCUUCUGGAUUCACAACAAAAAGAAAUUGGUAAUAAAACAUUUUCUUUAUCCUUUGCACCAUUGGUUCUUUUUUUUGUUUUCAUCAAGAAGAUUACAUUAGGCCUUUCACCAGCCACUAGGGCUCUAAGUUCUUGAAUUGUCAGGGGAUUGUCUAACCCCGACAAUUCCAACUUAAGAUUUUCAUUGGUACCCUAGUGACUUAUUAAGACUAGCCACCAAAGCCCAUUAACCCUCACCUUUCACCACUUAGACGAGAGUUUCUAACAGCCGAGUUUCAUCAAUUAAUAAUUGCAUAUCCUUUUCUGGAGCAUAAAGGUUUAAUCUCUUUUGCUUUUUAGCACUUAGUUUAACCCUUUUUUCCUUCUACUUUUUGGGUUGUUUCUGUAGAUUUUCUUCCUAUGUGGGAUAUAGGAGCUUUCCCCUUAUCGGGCCAUGUUAGUAGCAAGAAAGGAGGAUUAACCCUUACCUCAUUGCCACCUAAACUCUCGCUGUCCAUUUCCUUUCUCUUCUCAGCUCUGUCUGAAUGACUAGGUUGGGGGUAUGCUAGUUGGAUGAUCUCCAUUUUGUUCGAGAGGUUUUGAGUUUCAGGUAUGACUUCCUCUGCUGCCCUGUCUUCCCAUUUAUCUUCAUAAAAUAGCUUCCAAAUAGGACUAAACUCCCUAGCUUCUGCUUUCAACCAGAAUCCAAACCUUAGGUUCUCCAUUUUGUCUUCAUCAAUCGGAAUUUCAGUGCAAUGGGUGGUAAAAUGACCCAGUUUGCCACAUGCAAAGCAGAAAUGGGGUAAUCUCUCAUAUUUCUACUCUACCAAAAAAAAAAUUCCAGCAUGUUAGAUUACACUCCCCUGUUUCAAAGGGGCAUACAAAUCGAGCUCCACUUUCACUCUCUCCAAAGCAAAUGCCAUGGAGCCUUUUGUUUAUGUUCUGAUUUCUAUAACAUUUCCUAACUCCAUGGCUAUCUUUCUUAUAGCUAUCUCAUUACGCCAUUCAAUAGGUAAACCAUAGAUAUGCACUUAGAAAACUCCUCUCGUGAAAUCGUAGCAACAAGGAGGUGUGUUAGGUUCCCAUGAUUUCAACAAGAGAAUGUGAUUGGCAAAAGACCAAGAACCCCCAUCCAGCACUCGUUUAAUAUCCGUAGCAAAUUUGAAAGCAAACAUAAAGUGACCUUGUUCCAACAGAGUGAUACUGACAUUAUCUAUUUUCCAUGCCUUUUUCAUUGUACUUUGAAAAGCUUGAAAAUUAAUAGAGGGGCUUGUGAAUAGCUUACUGAUCAACAUCAGUUUACAAUCCUUUUCUUGUUCAAUGGCAUCCAUUUCUUCUGGAUCAAUAAUGUCAUUUUCUGACCACAUAUCUCCUAAUUUCUCGCAUAUCAACUACAGUCGGGGAUCAGCUUUUCUAUUCUCCAUUUCCGAACUUCAGUUUUCAGUUAGGCAAAUCAACAAACAGGUGGAAGAUUCAGUUGCAAAUAGCCACCAAAACCAGCCCAGAACAAUGCUCGAGAUUGAAGAUCCUUACGCGUUGCUUCUAUACCAAAAGACUCGGCAAAAAGAUUAAGAUACGAAGGACUACAAAGAUUCGGAAACUACUUGGUACUCAGUGGCAAAAUGAGAGAAAAUAAGAUGAAAGGAGACUAUGGGGAUUCCAAGCGGGUAGGGUAAGGUUGGUUGAAGAUGUGGGAGCUUGGCAAUGGAACAGUAGUUGUGUAGAUACCUUCCAUCAUAGAGAUAGUUGUUUAGUUCUAAAAGUGAAAAGGGGUUUCGUUGAGGAAGAUGAUUUUAGGGUUUAAAGAGUGAGCGUGCAAAGAGGUAUAUGUAAGGAGUGGGAGUUGGGGAUGGUGAGGAGAUUAGCUAGGGUUUUUGGAGAAGAAGAUGAUAGGUAUUAAAGAGGGGAAAGACAUGGCUACACCAAAGGUAAAGAAGCUCUCCAUGCAAGAGAGAAAAUUUUCAAAACGGGAGGAUAACCGCUUCAAAUGCUAUAUAAAUGAGACGCCUCAUAAGGUCACGCGUGGCACAUGUCCUUUUUCAAUUUUCUCUUUUAAAUAUUAAUAGCAUGCGGAAGUAUAACAAAAUUUUCACCACAUCUCUUAAAAAAAAAAAUCACACGAGUUUAAUAAAUGUACAUAUGCUUCUUCCUUAUAUUAACACCACUAGUUACCAUUUUCACAUAUUAUUCAAACAAAUACAUUACAUUACAUAAGUCUUAAGAAAAGGGUUGAGUCAAAUAGCACCUCUAAAACCAAACUAACCCAAAGGCAAGCAUAUACAUUAACCAAACCGCCAUUCAACUCAAGGGUUGAUGGCCUUUGAUCCCCUCAUCUUCAUGUCCUGGGGGACUAACCUACAAAUCAGAAAAAUAAGGAUGAGCUAAAGCCUAGUGAAUGAAAUCUUUAAGUCUAAGGUGAGAGAGUAUCUUACCAUUUAACCUAAUACCAACAAACAAUGUGAAUUCAAGGCAAUGCAAGAUAACAAUGAAUGACAAGUGCAUUAAUAAAUGCAUUAUUUUUCUUAUCUUAAUAUUGCAUCAGAUAAUUUACCCAAAUACAGGUGAAUGUUAUAACAAAUUGUGAUGCGUGUUUAUCACCGAUUGGCUCAUUAAUAGGCAUGUUUGAGCAUAUGCAUUUAUACAUACACAUAGACAUGCAUCAUAUUCAUUACUUCUUCUCUUCCCAAGCACACUUGGGGCAUCCUAACUCAAGGUGUACCUCAAAUUCAAGACAUCCCGAACACUCCUAGGGCCUGGGGCAUCUUAACACAUGAGGCAUCAUCACCAUUAAUUUAAACACAUAUUAUGUUUUUCCAUAUUUAUUCAUAUGGUACAAAUGCACAUAUUAAUAUUGUAGUCAUAAAAUCUUUCUUACAUCAACAAUGGAUUCAACAAUCGACGUUCGAUACACAACAUCCUUUUAUGCAAAUCAUUACCUUGCCUUUUUAAUGAUGACCUACAUGAGUAAUAAUGAUGACAUGUUUACCUCAUUUCAUUUUUCAUCAUGUCUUUUGAUAACCACAUGAUAAUAAUAUGCCUACCUCCUUUUCAUUUCUCAUGAAAACAAGGACAAAUAAGUAAUUAUAUGCAUUUCAACACAUAUACCCAAAUUCUUUUCUUAUCAUGUAAUGAUCGAUGAAAUAAAAGGCUUUAGUUAAGCAACCGGGUCAAAAAUAGUAAAAUGUCAUAAUCAACAAGUGGGUAUAGUCCACAAGUGGAUAUACUUGGUAAGUGAAUAUAAGCAGUAGUCAUACUCGACGAGCAGAUAAGCAGUACGUGGUUAUAUUCGACAAGUGAAUAUAAACAGUAAAUGGUCAUACUCGAUUAAUGAAUAUAAGCAGUAUGUGGUUAUAUUCAACAAAUGGAAACGCAUUAGUCUCUCACAACACAAUAAUCUUUAUUUCUUCCUUUCUCUUUAGGUGAAAAUAAUUACAGAGAGGAAUAUAUGGCGUGGAGUUUACCUAUGAGCCAUGGCAAUUUUAACAUCAAGCUAACAAUAGUUUAUGGUUAUGUCAGCUAAAGGAGUGGGAAAUUUUAACAGGAGGACUAUAUUGAGUAGAUUUUUAAAAGUAUUGAGAAUUAGAUUGUACAAAAAGAAAUGUUUAGAUACUACUUUGAAUUUUGAAAAAAAAGAGAGUUAAAGGACAAACCAGAUAACAUGCAAACAAACUACUAUAUGCAGAGAGUUAACAAAUUAAAUAAUAAAUUCCACAAACACAGGCACAUACCUUCCAAAACCAGACUAUCUGAGGAUCGUUAGCUUUGUAGCCAUUGACUCAGUAUAUGUCUUCUAAUCUUCAAUAGAAAUAUCAUUCUCACUCCCGUGUAGCAUUUGAUCAAUAUCUUCAAGCUCCAAACUUUGAAAAAAUAACUUCUGCAACCUCAAGUCGCUAAGAAUAUCACCAAAACCUUGUGCAAAAUGCGAUACCUGUUGAGAGAUUGAGGUAACAAACCGAUGUUUUAUAAGAAGAUCAACAUAAUCAUUCCUAUUCUUGCUAUUCACCACCAUGCCCUUCCCACCAUCACAGAGUUCCACAACUCUCCUCAAUCCCAACUCCUCAACUUCUCUGACAAAUGUUAUAGUCCUAAAGCAUCAGAAUCAAUAAAUUCAGCAUCCAUUUCCAGAAUCUGCUUGCAGCGAUUAUACAUGUAAGGAUCCGCAUCUCUUAUGUCUUCCAGAGAAAUAGAAUAUCCACCCAAUUGCAAGAAAAAUACCCGAUCCAAAAAAAUCCCUACUUGUACUCUAUGCAUCAGAGCUAAGCCUAUCAUUCGACCAGAGAAGUUGAAAUACUUGAGGUGCAGGGGUGCCACCGUAGACGCUGCAUACCAUUCAAACAACAGAACUCAGGUAAUCAUCAUGACCAAUGUCAAAUAGAGGAUUUAUAUGUAGAGACAGAGGACAAGAUGAAAUAAAUCAUCUUAAAUGUUCAAAUUGCAAAACACUCAAGUGUUGAUUGUCAAUACUGAUAAGGCAUUUAGAACAAAGGUAACGGAACUGUAAUAACAGAAGGGCAAGGUGACCACACAAGUAGAUCUCAAAAGUUUUUUUUUUUUUUUUAAUAUUUAAAUAACUAUCAACAGCCCAGCAAUCCCCCCAAGAAACUUUUUAUGUACCCAUAGCUCCAUGUAGGCACAAAUUAUCAAAAAAAAAAAAAAAAAAUUCCCCAAAGAGAUGAAGAAUAACAAACUACAAGAACCAAGGCUAAAAGAGAGAUUUACAUAAGAAAAAAUGAGAUGAAAAUACACUUUCACUCCUAAAAAGUUGUGUGCAUUGCACAUGUUAACUGAAAUCAUAAUGGAGAAUUAAUGGCUGUCACAAAAUGAAAUUUAGGAGAGUAAUAUGUUGCAGUUGAAAGUUAAGGGGCAAACGUGUACGACCUAAAGUUGAAGGGGUUUUGCAUUUUCCUCUUACUUGUAUGAGAUUUGAAUACUCUACAUCUAGCAUGCAAUUUUGUUAAGACUUCAAGGUCAUUCAACCGAAUUCCAAGUAAACAACCCCGAAUUCCUAAUGGGCAAAAAUAGUAGCAAAACUUAACUCUACCCACUGGAACAAUCUUGCGUUUGUAAGGUCGACUCUCCAACUCACACAACCCCCCAAUUACUUCAAUCAAUCUUUAUCUCUGUACAGCAAUAAAACCACCUAUUAAGCUUUAACUGACAACAUGCAGCCAUAUCAUCCAUACUAUGACGUUUCACUCCACUGUGUAUCUAGUUCUCCGAGACUAUCUUUGUCACAGAGAAUAAUUGUGUGGUCUGCAAAGAGAAGGGGUUCAACAUGCCAAAUAACCAGGUUGCCUAAAAACCCAUCCUUCCAAAACCAAAUCGAAAAUUUUUAGUUAAACCAUGGCCUUUUUCAGACCAAAUUCAUUUGAUCCAGUCCAACAGAUUGGUUUCAGGUCAAAAAGUGUUAAAUAAACGAAGAUCAAAACUUGACUGAUUGACCCAUUUGGUUUGACUUUUUUUAACUAUCUUUACCAUUUGUCCUUUAGCAAAGUAGUCUCUAAAAUUUUACUCAUUAUCUACUUGGCAGGAUUGACUUCCCACUUCCCAUUCCUCAAAAACCCCAAUAUCGUGAUCUACCAUCACCUUCGGAAGGUUUAGCCUUUCUCUUCUUCCUACAAGAAAAGACUUUCAAACCCAUCUAUCAUCAUCUUUGAAAUAUUAGCCACCAUAGCUCAUUCAUAGUUAGUACUCAUCCAGUGACACAACCUCUCUCUCUCUCUCUCUCUUCGCACGAGAGCACGCUGGCAGUUGCAGAAGCAAGAAAAACAAGAGACAGAAAUAUCAAAUGAGCAAUAGUAGGAAGGCAAAGAAAAUGGGUUAAACCUAUGUAUUGAACCUAACUGACUGGGUAUUUGGGCAGUUCAUCUAUACUUUGUACUGUUUGUUCAACUUUUCCAUCCAAAACUCUUGGUUCUGAUUCUGUUUUGGUGGAAACAAACAGGAAUGUUAAAGCUACCAACCCACUCAUAUUCACUCUACAUACUAGAGCUAUAAGUGCUAAUUAUAUGUCAAACUCCAUUCAAUAUACAGAAAUGAUAAGCACUCCAUCAUUUACUUUUUUUGGUUUCACAAAACCUAAGGACAACAACCAGCAUUCUUAAACAAAAUCACACACAUGGCCAUGCAAUAUUACCUGGAUUUGGGUAGAACCUUCUGCGAUCAUUGGGACAUGCUACAAAAAGAGGAUUUUGUUGAUUGAAAAUAGCUUGGCAAACCAGAACAAACCACUUGCGCAAACACCAGGACCAGUUGCUUCCUCAUUUUUAAAUUCCAUAAAUAUACCCCCAUGCAAAGAUUCAGCUUCUGCAUUAGCUAUAUACUCGAAUGAUUCUGACAAUAACUGAGACCUGUCGAUCAGCAUCUCAUGUUGUUCCUCAAAGUCCUCUUUCACUUCAGGGAACAUCAUCAUCACUAAGUGCCUCCUAGACUCAAAAUCCAUAAUAUCUUUGUGUUCAAGAAGCCAUCUGUGAUCAUCAUUUCGCUUCGCAUAAUGGACAACAAGCAUACACAAUGCACGCUUCCUCAUGCUCAAAAUCGUCCAAAAUUCUUCCUCAGAACCCAAAUAAAGUUUAGAAAUGGCAUUCAGUUCUUUCAAAAUAGUAAGAUAUCGAGACCACGCUGGAUGUGCAAUUUCAAUUUCCCCACUUACCUUUGCAGAUAACCGCUGCUCCAUUCUGGAAAGGCACUUAUCCAUCUUCUUUAGCAUGUCCACAAAGAUAUGAUAAAGCGAUUCGACCUCUUCCUUACACAAGAGAACAUCGUGGUGUUCGUUUUCCAUAGGCAAAGAGAUUGGAUGCUCGAAACCCUUGUAUCCAGACAUUACAGUUCGCAAAGGGCGCAAGAACAUCGUGAAAUCAUUGACAUCGCUCCAACUCCCCACACUCGCUGCUGAUAUGAGGGACACUUCCAUAUCUUUGGACAACUUACCUGCCAGCUCUUUAACGAAAGGGAAUAUCUCUUUUAUAGAUAUCGCUCUCUUUACACUUUCCGUAUGUUCCGAUACCCAUUGAACCUUAAUAACCUCCAUCAUCGGCCCCAGACUACUCCAGCAAGACAAGUACAAGGGGUCAUGAGAAGCUAUUCUCCUGAGCAACUUACAAAACUCCAGCACUAUGGGUGCACAGCGCGAUCGCAAAGACUUUGGUAACUCAAUUAUACAUAAUUCUAGGAAAUGCCUAAUUGACUCCUCGGCAUGCUCCUUGUUACCCCUAAUUGGCGACAUGUAGAGCAUAACAAGCGCCGCAGGCGCAGAGGAUGACAUAAAUAUCUGAAGAUGCCCAGUAGCUGCAUCGCCAUCAUCCUUAGGAGUCAUCGACAAGUACUCCGAUAUCCUAGUUCUAAUAGUUUUAAGAGCAUAGGGCACGGUUUCACCUUUACAAAGGCGGAAAACAAGAUAAAUCAUGUCGUCGAUGAUUUGCCAAGCCUGCGAGUGCCCCGUGCUCUGCAUUCGGCCGACUAAAUGCAGGCCGGCAUCAUUUUGGAUAGCACACUCGGCCAAAGAUUUCUCGCACUGCAGUUGCUUCCCUUUAUAAAUCAGCCUCUGCUCAAUGACGGGAAUUCCAGUGAUCAGUUGAAUCCGCUCGUGCACCGACCGCACGGUAUCGCUGGAAUUGGCCUGGAAGACCAAGGACUUGCCAUCGGAGAUCAUCCUCACGAAGAACUGGAGCCGCGAGGCGAAGGCCAUCCUGACGGUAUCGCCGGAAUUCGCGGCGGCCGUCGUUCGCGGGGGAGGAGCUCACGCGCCGGACGUCGGUCGCCGCGGCGGGGGAAGGAGCUCAAGGAGCCGGGGGCUCUAAAACCCUGGAAUUCCACUGAUCGGGCGACGCCGCCGGGCAGCAGCGAGCGCGGCCGGGAGCAGAGAGAAAGACGGCGAUCGGCGAUCGGCGGCGGCGGCGGCGGCGGCGGCGAUAGAGAGAGAAGCGAUUUGGUGAGUGUCAAAGAGAGAGAAAGAAAGAGAGUCAGCACUGUGGAAGCAGCAGAGUCAUCAGUGGAGGUAGAGAGAGAGAGAGAGAGAGAGAGAUUUUAGACUGUCUUCUUACGCUAAGAAGAAAUCAAAGACAAGAAGAAGAAAAAAAAAAGUAAUAAUAAAAAGGGGAAGGAGGAAGGGGGAAGGGUUCCGGUGGAGGAGGCGGCACGAACUUUUUCAUGAGCCUCCUUUCUUCUUUUUUCAUUUUUGGCCUUUUUUCGUAACUGUAACAGAUAUAUUCCUCGAUUUAUCGUAUGCGCCCAAAAUUCACUUUUCAUUUCCUGCUCGUUUAUUGAAAAAAUGGAUGAUAUUUUACCACGUAUGGAUAUGGUACUUGUGCUUGUCCUAAUUGAGGAUCUAGUUUCUUUUUUAAAGUUAAAUAGGAUUUGAAGGGCUGGUGGUGACGCUUAGAAUACACAGUUGGAGAGAAAAUUGAUUCGGCUUCCAUGAUUGGUGUUGGAGCUUUCGGAUUAAGGUUUUUUGUAUACCUAAUUGGGCGGAGUUAUGUGGGGUUCAAUUGUCAAGAGACUAUGCUUAUGAUGCACGAUUGGAGAGAAAAUUGACUUAGCUUCCGAAAUUACAUUCAAUAUUGCUAAUCAUUAAGAUCUGCCGUGCUCGAAAUUUAAAUUAAGUAUUUUCCUAAUCAUAUAAACUUGUGUCGCCAUAAAUGAGGGUAAUUAUUAUGUUACGUUUUUUGAACCGCUUGAAAUUAUUACGGAUUUCAAUAAGUAUGAAUCGGUACUGCUAUGUGACAUCCUGAAAUCUAGGUUCUAAUUUCGAUCGAAAUAGUUGGGCAUUUCAUCAACGCAUUUAUAGUUUUUUUCUCUGAACUGAUCACUAGUCAUCAGGUGAAGCCGUUAAGGAAUUUUAACGCAUUAAACUUGAGAAUUCGAUCAGGAAACGACUGCUCUACCGUGCAAAUCUGCAAGAGAUCAUUAUGACACAAUAGGAUCGAUUAGAAAUCGGAGAUAUGUUGACUCGACAAAGGUAUGUGAUUAAGUGUGGGUGAUUCCACCUAAUUGCACAAUUCUUGUCGAUUGGCACUAAACCGAUUAUUCUAUCGUUUCGAUACCCCGUGUCUGUAUUUGAAGCCUUGAGAUUUUUACGACAAUUGAGAGUCGCCAAUGUAUCAAACAUGUAUUUUGUAGCUUGAGAAUAAUCAACCACGGGUCAAAUGCAAGAAAAUUUUCUAAAAGCUACUCGGUAGAUUAGGACGCACUAAAUUCGCAUCGAAUUGAAAUUAACUGUGAAAUCGAACCCGAAUUCAAAAAUUGAGAGUUCUGUCAAGUCACAAUUCAUUUUAGGAACGUCGACUCAUCUCCGGAAGAUUUUUUUACAAUCGAGAUUUUUGGCGGAAAAGUAAAGUAAGGCCGUUUUUGUUCGAGAUUGUCAAAGGGUCGUUUUUGAUCGAAUAUUUGGGAAGCAAGUUGGAUCAUUUGAUAGGGAAAAGUCAUAAGAAGGUUCAGGACACAUAGGUUAAUUUAAUUGAGCUUCAAUUGGAUGGAAUUGAUUGAGAAUUGAUUGAAUUACGUGUACGAGAUUUUAUGUCACGGCGGAAAAAGAAAUUGGACCCAUUGGACUAAGAUUGUGAGAAAUUGGAGAUAGUGGAACAUGACAUAAUCAAGGUUGGCCAAUUUUUGGGAGAUUAAAUAAAGAGAAAAAGAAAAGGAAUGCCCCCCCUUUUCUUCUCUCUCCUCCCUCUUUCUUCCCCGUCGACCCUUUCUUCCCCAUUUCUCUUCUUUGUUGACAGAACCGAGCAGACCAGCGAAGCUGGAGAAGUCGUGCGCCUCCGCCGGAGCCAGACCCAUUGCCGCACGUCGCCGCACGCCGUCGUUGCUCCGUCCUGGCCGCGCGCCCUCUGUCUUCCCCCUUCCUCUCCCGUCGCGGUCUCUCUCCUCCAUCUCUGGUUCUUGCUCGAAGACCCAGCGGAUCUGAGGACGCCAGUGUAGCUAGCUAGCUGCUGGACCGCCGUCUCGCGCCUCCGCCCUCCGCCGUUCACCGCCGAGCUACACGCCGUUGCCUCGCCACUGCCUCGCUCGUCUCAGCCUCCCUCUCGCCUAACUCUCUGUUUCAGCAAGAUGUCCAGCUCAUCCCAGCUGCUGUGGACCACCGCCGGAGCUCCUACCGCCACCGCCUAGGUCCGGUUCGGCCUCCUCCGUCCAUCUAAGCCCUUGCAUGCCUCAACCGAACUUGGAUCUGCCUUUUUUCGGCCUCAGCUAGCAACAAACAGGGAGGAGAAAAAUGGGUAUGGCAGCGGCUUCGUGGCCCGUUUUGGCCGGCUUCCCGAUCCUGGAAGCUAGGCCCGCCUUGGAGUGAAUCGAUCCCCUCGGCGUCCCCAUCGAUUUGAGCCCCUCGGAUCGCUAAUCGGGUGAGUUAACUCACUAAUCCCCGCUUAGUAAGUUAAUCACGUUUAAGGGAUGUUUAGAUUAAGCUAAGUAGGUUUAGGUGAUUAAAUUAAUUUAUUUAAAUGUUAAGUGGAUUAAGGGAUGUGAUUAGUUUAGUGAAUAAUUAAUUAAGGCUAAGUAAAUGUUUGGAUUAAAGUAAUCUUGUUUAAGCCUUAAUUAAUUAUUUUAAAUUAAAUAAUUAAUUCGAAAUUGUACUAUUAAUUUUCGAAAUAAAUUUAAUUAUUUAUUAUUUUCCGAAAAUUUUGACUGGGAUAGCUGGUGACCGGAAUUUUAUGCCGAUGAUCGUGGUGAAGUCCGUUUGUUUAAUUGAGCUCCAAUUUGAGCUAAAUUGAAUUUAUUGUAAUUAAUUAUUAAUUUUCGAAAUUAAUUAAUUAAUUAAUUAAAUUAGGAAAUUAAGAUUUAGAUGGCCAACGACUGAAACUCCAUGCUGAUUAUCGGGGUGCAUUCUGUUUAUUUAUUUGAGUGUUAAUUUGUGCUAAAUCGAAUUAAUUGUGAAUUUAUGAUUUAUUCCUAAAUUAUAUGAUUUUGGUUAUUAAUGGAGAAAUAAUCGGGCGUCAAUUUACAUCACCAAAAAUAUGUAAUGGGCUGAUGAAAUUGGUGGGAUAUUUUAAGUAAAAUUAUUAUAUUUUGACUAAGACCAACCGUGUACCCACACCUAAAAAUGAUGAAUUAACUAUAUGGUUGGAGUGGUAUACUAUAUCGGCCUUCGGGCGAUAUGUCAGUUUUGGGUGAGCAGUAUACCGAUAUACUAUAUUGACCUACGGGCGAUAUGUCAGCUUUGGGUGAGCAAUAUAUCUUAUUAUCAGCUUUGGGCGAGCAUAUAUAUUAUACUAAAUUGGCCUGGGGCCCCUAAUUUAUCAGCUUUGGGCGAGCAUAUACAUAGUAUACUAUACCUAUCAGCUUUGGGCGAGCAUAUACAUAGUAUACUAUACCUAUCGGCUUUGGGCGAGCUAUGCUAUCUAUUAUCAGCUUUGGGUGAGCAGUCCUAGACUACGAUCGGACUUUAUAGAUAGUAUUGAAUGUAUCGACCAGGGAAAGGUCGUGGUGACAUGUAAUCGAUUAAGUCGAUUGAUCGCUGAGUCAAUCUGAUUGGUGGAAUGUGAUUGUUUGCUGUAGUUAUCGAUAUUAUUAAUUGAACUAAUGUGCAGGAAAGGAACUGAUGCCAAGGUAAGCCUUUUGACCUGUGUUGUGCUUAGGCAGCCCUUAUGGCGUAUUGGCUUCCUAAUCAAGUCUUAGUGGGGGUAGAACUUGCUGAGACAUAGUCUCAUCCCGGUUUGGGGAAAAUAUUUCAGGUCCCUAGAUGACGAUCGUGGAGGACCGAAAGUCCUGGAGUUCGAAAGGUGAAGGCUAAAGAAUCGGCAAAUGGGUCUGACUAAUGGAUGUUAAGACAGUCCCCGUUUUGAUAAGCCGUUAAUUUUGUAAACAGCCUAAGUUUGUAAUUAACUAGUUUGUCUAUAAAGACUCAUCUUGGUUUGAAAAAUAUGAUCCUACUUUUCUAUCACAUUAUUUGAUUGUCUGGGGAUUUUAUUAAACUUCCGCAUGCAUAUAUAAAUGAAUGGGUCGGCGACUUUCUUGGGACGUCGCAAAUAAAUCGACCAAGUAAGGGAUGGGCGUGCGCCCGAGGAUCGGGGUGUGACACGCUAGGUAAACUUCUUUUCAAAUUGUGGGAUUCAUUUUUUGGUUUUUUCGUAUGAUCAAAGGUGAAUUUCAAAUGAAUUUCGCACUUGCCUAAUUAGGCAACCUUUAUGUCCGGCUAAAAGGUAAAGCAGCUUCACUUAUACUAGACGAAUGGAGAAGAUAAACAAGUUGCAUUCCAUCUCGAUCUUAACAAUUUGUCAUUCUCAAAAUUAAGGUAAGUAAUUUCUCAUAUACACUUGCGUAACCGAAAACGAGAGUAAUUAUCCUAAUACGGUUUUUAGAUCGCAUAUGUUUAUAUGAAACUUUUUCUAAAAUCGCGAUGCUCUAUUAAUAUUUUGAUAUCCAAUCAUCAUAAUCUUUUUAGAAAAUUUCAAUAUAAUUAAAAGGAUAUCAUAUAUAAUGGAUAAUUUUUUUUUCAUUUUGUUAAUUUUAAGAGGUGAAAAGACUUAGGUUGUUUUCGGAUAAUUACUUACGUAAGUGGAACCAGGAAAAAAAAAUUAGUGAUAUCUCAAUUACAUUAAAAGUCAAAGGUUGUUUUUGUUUUAUUUUCUCAAAAAGAAAAAGCCAAAGGUUGAUGCGGCAAAAAGGUACAAAAGUCGGGGAAUACGCAUGGUCCCCGGGGUAAGGUUUACGGUAGACCUUAGAGUCUAAACCAAACCCGCCCAUUUGCCUUUUGGGCAUCUUGGGGUUGGGUGAUCAGGUGCGUCAUUCGGCUCAUGAUUAUCUCAAAUUUUGUUAUUAUAUUUUCAAAAUUAUUUCAAUUUAAUUUUUUGGUUGCAAAUUUUGUAUAUUUUAGAUAAUGAAUCCAUGCCCAAUUCCUAAAUUCUGAUAAUUAUAAAAAUGAGAAAUGAAAAAAAAUUAUCAUCCAUGAAAAAUGUUUAGAUAUAAAUUGUUAUUGAUAAUAAAAAGAUUUUAUCAACUCACGAUUUCAAGCGAUAAAAAAAUUAUUUACAGGAAUUUUUUUUCCAAAUUUUAUAUUUCACGAAACAAACAUAUUAAAUUUUAAGAUUAUAUAAAGGAAUUAGAGAUACUUCAUGAUUUAGGACAUGCGUGCGCACACAUAUAUAUGUGCACGUUUAAAGUCAGAACUCGAAGAAUAUUUAUUUCUAUGCUCGCCAUGUAAAAGUCAACUUUGUUUACAUUGUUACCGCAUGGCAUAAGUUUGCCACAUUGUCUAUAUUCGACUAAUUAACAUUUGUUUAUUGAUUUGCCAUUCUCAAAUAUCUACCAAUUAUUAACAAAAAACACUUAAAAUUAAAAAUAAAGUAUCUUUAAAGAUAGCCCGAAACUUAUUGGACCGACCAAUAAAUAGAGAAAAUUUAAGAAAAAAAAUCUUGAUAUUAAGGGCUCAACAUUUAUUUCUUUCAACUUACCUCAUUGAUUAUAAAUUUGAAAAAAUAUAAAAAGUAUCUUUAAAUAUACCAUUUAUCCAUUUGAUGUGAGAUUAAGUCAAAACACAAAAUAUAUUUUGUUACAUAAUUGAUACUCGUAAUUUUAUUAACUAAGUGAAUAACGUAUUAAAAUUAAAUUAGAAUAAUUAAAAAAAACAAAUCAUUUUAUACACUUGGAUAAAUUCCACUGAUUUUCAUUCAGUUUUAACAUUACAAUAAAGACUGAGAAUUUUAAUAGAAUUCAAGUUAAUUAUAUAUAGUAAAGCCGGGAGCAGUGAGAACAUUUACUCAUGUACUCACCGCAUGGAAGAUUACCUUGUCUCUAUGCUUCCCAUAUAGUAAGCCACAUGCCAUAAUUAUGCCACGUGGCCUAUAUCCUACCCAUUAGCAUUUGUUUAUUGACUCAUCAUUCUCAAAUUUCUUGCACCUAUUAAUUUAAAAUAUUGAAUAAAAUAUCUUAAAAGGUACUCUUAAAUAUAUACAAGCAAUAGCAUAGUUAAUAUAAAUAAAUAAAAAAUAUCUUGAAAUCUUGAAAUCAAUUCACAAAGGUUAAUCUCCUUCGAUUUUUUUUUGGUCAAAAGCAAAUAUUUCAUUCGUAUCUCAGUAUCUCCAAAUGAUACAUAAAAGGUUCAAAACAAAGUAUCUUUGGUCGAAAGCCCUAUGCAUCUAUGUGGUGCAUGACUGCAUACAUUCAACGAUGGCCUAUACCUAUUUGAUCAAAGAUGAAAAAUUUCUCCAGUCCCCUCCAUCGAAGUAUUGAAUUCAUUUCCACUAACACAUCCAGACAAACCAUAAUAGAGCGUGUUUGCACGCGUGCGCAGGUGCGUGGGUGGGUUGGGGAAGAGGGGGGGUAGAGAGAGAGAGAGAGAGAGAGAGAGAGAGAGAGAGAGAGAGAGAUGUAUUGCAGUCAAUCUUUCUGUAUAUCUACAUGUCAAAGCAAAGUGACCAUCUCUACCAGAAAAAUGAAGUCCCGCAGAGGGGAUGAGCUUCCCUUUCAUCCUGCACCCAAACUUUAUAUAUACCCUGCAUCUAUAACAUAUGUAUGAACAGUUAAAAGAGGGGAACAACAAAGACCCCAACGACAGAAGACAGACGAGACAAAAUAUCCACAACACCCCCUUUAAGCGUCCAAUGAUAGAUCAGAUGGUUAUGAUGCCCUUUAAGCGUCCAAUGAUGAAAUCGAAUUGUCAAUAAGUACCGAAGCUGCAGCCUACAUGUUCUUGAGCGAUGAUGGAAAGGCGCUGUUCCAUGAUGGUCAUGCUGGGAUAAGGUGGAAAGCACAGACGAUAAAAGCAUGUAUGGGAUGAUGGUAGGUGGCUGAUGUCCUCCAUAGACUUGUAUAUGUAAAGGCGAGAUGCCAAACCCCGAAAUCCCUCCACGGGCAGAUACUUCACCGACGUCCAGAAGAAAAGGAUAUUCUUUUUCUGCUGUGGUGACAUUUUUCUGACAAUCUGCAUUGGAUUUACCAAGAGUAUGAUUUUGAAGAGAAAAGUAAUGCAGAAUUUCCAUUACAACAUAUAAAAUUAGUGAAGAUAAUUUUAUGCCAAUUAGGGAAUUAACUAGGUCUCUCCAGCCAUAUCUAAAGGAUCACUCACCAACAGUAAUGAGGUAUCUUCAGGACCUACAUUUUGAUCCUGUGAUGCAAAAAUGCAUCUCAUCACUACUCUUCUACAAUAGUUCAGCACUAAAUUACCAUGAGUAGAGUGUUAUUGGAUGAAACUUUCCACAAGUCCAACCCAAAGAAAACUGCAAUCUAAAAACCAUACCAGAGUACAAACACAUUAUGCAUCCAACAAUCCCAAUCUGUCCAUAAUGUAUUGCCAUGGAAACUAGCCUCCACCAUGCAUCUUGCGUGGUUGAGUCACAGAGCCUAGACAUCAGGAAUUUUCAUCUUUCUUAUUUUUUAUUAAAAAUCCAAUGCCUUUUAAAGCAAGGGCAAUCUUUCCUCCCCGCAGAGUCCAGACUAAGAAAUGCAGAGAACCAUUUUUAUGCUUGAGAUAGUCAAGAGAGCAUCUGUACAGAUUAUCUUUCAGGAGCACACACCUACAAACCUAGCCAUGUAAAUAGGGCCAUGCUAACAUAAGAAUGCUUCUUACUUAUUUAAUAAGUUUUGGUUGAUAAGACAGGUACCAUGAAAUUGCACCUUGCACUUGCGCGAGGAAUUGGAUGACUUACCAUUCAUAAGCAAGCAUACUAAGGACAUGAGCAAGUGAUAGCCUUCUCACCUAGCAGGACAACAUGUACUUCUGGUAUGGAGAACUUGAUCACACGGGUUAAAAUGUUCCUCCAAGAUUAUGUUGGACAGAAGAAGAGAGGUUUGCAUCCAUGUAAAAUGUCUAAGCAAAUUUUAGUAGAUUGAUUCUGUGAUACAUUCUAAGUUCAAGGGUUUUUAAACAAAAGUCUAAUUCAGCAAAUUUUCCCAGAGCAUGCUCAGACUGACCAACUAUUGGUUCCAGCUGCAAAUUUAAUGACAAUAAGAAUAAAUUGAAAGAAGCUAAUAAUUGACCACUUCCAUAACUCAAGGCCACGUUAUCUCCAGUGGGAAGAAAUGAUGCACCCACAGAUUAGACAAGCUAAUUAUGUCUAAUAAACAUAUCUACUCAAGUCCCCAAGAAGAUGAAGCAUUCUGACUGUGCAUGGCUGAUUGCCCGCUUUGGCUAGCUAAUUUUAGAUAAGUAACCUUAUGAAAAUUAGAGGUAUGCUAGGAUUUUAGUAAAUUUGCUAUAUCUACUUUAACUCAAAUUCAAGGUUUCUUUUUUCUACUUAGAGUUGGAUUUCAGCAGAAGCCAUGAAUAUGAUUUAAUGCGAUUUACUGAAUUCAACCCAUUCUUUGCUUCUGAAUUCUGUCAUAGAAUAAUGUAAUUACUCACGAUGCUUAAAUGAACCCAACAGUGCUGCCUAUAACCUUUAGGCGUAAUGUCCAAAGGAAUUUACUCAUGGCAAUAUACUCCCUAAUUAGGAUCCAAGUCCAGCUUCAUCUUUGAGAUCCAAAAUUUUACAUAAUACAGAAAACAGAAUAUGAAGCGCCACAGGCCUACAAGAUUAUGAGAAAAUAUAAUAAAAGGACAAACCAGAUAACAUUCAAACAGACUACCAUAUGCAGAGAGAGAUUAUUGACUCAAAAGGUAACAAAUUAAAUAAUAAAAUCCACAAACACGGG
rnacentral:lncRNA from 1 species